rnacentral:lncRNA from 1 species
GGUUAACUUGGACCACAGAUGCUCAAUGAACAUAACACCUGUUGGGGGUGGAGAAGAGGAAGCUGCUGCCCUGCAAGCCGUUCAGGAAGAAGACAUCAUACAAACAGGAGGCUGGGCAGGAAAAAUGAAAAUGAUUUUGAAUGUGUGAGAAUGUUGAGACAACAUCACUGUGGUUUGCUGUGUAAGGAAAUAAUCAAGAAGUUGGCCGAACGACAGUUGAAUCAGGAAUUUCAAGAGGAAAAUGGUGCCAUGUCCUUGAGCCUGACGGUGAUCUGGAGUCGGGGAUUGCUGGGGGAGCUCAUGCUGACCUGCCUUAUGUCACCAUGGACGCGGCGACCGCCUUCCACUAGCCGCUGUGAGGGAAUCGGGACGGAUGGCGUCCAGGAGACAGAAAGUCCAGGCCACCUGCACUGCUGGCCCUUGUCCGAGUAUGGCCGGUCCUGAACAAAGUCCAGGCCUGGCUUCUGGAUCCAGAGAGCCCCGUGGAAAAGGGGCUUUCCACACCUGGAAAGCAGGUGCAGGAGGCUGGGAGAGCAAAUGGGAAGGUCCCCCGAUCUCUCAAACGGGGGCACACAGGGGUGUCGUCUCCACCGUAGGAACGUCUGUGGAUCUGAGCUCAAGGAUAAAUGCAUAAUGCUGGGUUCUGCAUAAAUGCCGGGUUCAUGCUCUUUGGUUCUUAGGUGUUUGAACCCAGGUGGGGUCUAAAACACAGGUCAGAUGGAUCCAAGGGUGCUUGAUGACUUUGAGAGAUGCUCUAUUGACCCUGAGAGGAAACCAAUGUGGCAGGUGCAGAAGGUGACCCCCGACAUGUCUCACGGGGGCUUUGUGGUUCCUGAUCGCCCCGUAUGAACCUGAAAAGAAAAGACACCAUGCGGAAGGGCUUCCUUGGGGCGGCCUGUUAGGUCUCAGAUGCAGUUGGGAGACAUUUCAGUGGGCAUUUUAGACUCACUCUAAAGAAUUGGUUGGAAAUCACUGACAAAUCCCAGAUCCAUGAGGAAUUUGCAUUUAUAUCAUUCAGUGUUUUUGUUUCUCUGGUCCUGCUGGAUCCUAUUCCAACAUUGCAUCAGAUUUCACAUUUGACAUUAAAAACCUAAAGAGGGGAUCCCUGGGUGGCGCAGCGGUUUAGCUCCUGCCUUUGGCCCAGGGCGCGAUCCUGGAGACCCGGGAUCAAAUCCCACGUCGGGCUCCCGGUGCAUGGAGCCUGCUUCUCCCUCUGCCUGUGUCUCUGCCUCUCUGUGUGUGUGUGUGUGUGACUAUCAUAAAUAAAUAAAAAUUAAAAAAAAAAAACUAAAGAAAA